rnacentral:rRNA from 1 species
GACGAACGCUGGCGGCGUGCUCAACACAUGCAAGUCGAACGGUAAGGCCUUCGGGUACACGAGUGGCGAACGGGUGAGUAACACGUGGGUGAUCUGCCCUUGACUCUGGGAUAAGCCUGGGAAACUGGGUCUAAUACCGGAUAUGACUGCUCCGCGCGAGCGGGGGUGGUGGAAAGCUUUUGCGGUGUUUGAUGGACUGGCGGCCUAUCAGCUUGUUGGUGGGGUAAUGGCCUACCAAGGCGACGACGGGUAGCCGGCCUGAGAGGGUGACCGGCCACACUGGGACUGAGACACGGCCCAGACUCCUGCGGGAGGCAGCAGUGGGGAAUAUUGCACAAUGGGCGCAAGCCUGAUGCAGCGACGCCGCGUGAGGGAUGACGGCCUUCGGGUUGUAAACCUCUUUCAGUAUGGAAGAAGCUUUCGGGUGACGGUACCUGCAGAAGAAGCGCCGGCUAACUACGUGCCAGCCGCCGCAGUAACAC